CCCUGACAGCUGCGUGGUGCAGCUGACGCAGCCCACGACAGGAGAAUGACAUG
rnacentral:ncRNA from 1 species